GUAAUUGUCUAACAAGGAUAAGUUGACCGCACUGCAUGAAGCUGCACAGAAUGGAAAUACAGAAGUUGUCGAUUUUCUAAUUGAAAACAAUAUUGAUGUCAAUAUACAGUCCAUGAAUCGUCAAACUGCACUUCACAUGACUACUGGUAGACGGAGCGGAACAGUUGAUAUCGUAAAGUCGCUAAUUAACGGUGGUGUUGAUCUUAACUUACAGGACAAGAUAACCAUUCAAGUAGGUGGCUUACAGUGAAGUUCUUUAUUCAUUGAGUCAGAAGAUUUACAAAGAAGUAAACUAUUCUUUGGAUCGUCAGUAGGAGAUUAACAAGAAAGUGUCGUAUUAAUUUCUUGAGACUCUUCAGGCUUAAACAAAAAAAAUAUCAGUUUGUGGGUCUGAUUUAUUACUAUUCUAAUAUUGCUUUAUCUGUUUUUUUUUGUUUUUUUGUUUUUUUAUUGCGGGCUUGUUUAUCGAUUUUUUCUUGUAGGGCCCGCAAUUCUGUAUACUCUAUGUCAUGUAUAUGUAUACAUUAUUUGUUAAAUGAACUUGUACAAUAAUUUUUGGCCAAAAUAAAAGUAUCAUUUAUCUUGUUUUCUAUUCUGAGCCAGAGAUAAUUGUACGUUUGUAAUUCGAAAAACGCAUAAUUAUAUGCGAAGUUCGUUUUUUUCAACAUUUCGAAAUUCUGUUCUAUCAAUAGUGCCUGUUUAGUGAGUACUUUUACGGUACUUUGUAUUCAUUAUUAGAUAUAUCUUUAAUUAUCGUACUAGUGAGUUAUUUUUAUUUUUAUUUUGUUUACAUAUUUAACUUAUGCGGGCUAUUUUUGUCGGGCCCGCAACUUUGUAUACUCUAUGUCAUGUAUAUGUAUAAAUUAUUUGUUAAAUGAACUUCAACAAUAAA